rnacentral:tRNA from 1 species
GGGAGUAUAGCUCAGGUGGUAGAGCAGCCUUCUCAUAAGGGGCUAGUCGUAGGUUCAAGUCCUACUACUCCUA